GGCCUACCUUGGUGGUAACGGGUAACGGGGUGUUAGGGCACGACACCGGAGAGGGAGCCUGAGAAACGGCUACCACAUCCAAGGAUGGCAGCAGGCGCGCAAAUUACCCAAUCCCGACACGGGGAGGUAGUGACAAUAAAUAACAAUACGGGGUUCUUUCGGAUCUCGUAAUUGGAAUGAGUACAAUUUAAAUCUCUUAACGAGGAACAAUUGGAGGGCAAGUCUGGUGCCAGCAGCCGCGGUAAUUCCAGCUCCAAUAGCGUAUAUUAAAGUUGUUGCAGUUAAAAAGCUCGUAGUUGAAUUUCGGGGUCAAUAGGUUGGUCGUGCCAAUGGCAUGUACUGGCUUUAUUGAUUCCUACCUCUUGACGAACUGUGAUGCCAUUAAUUUGGUGUUGCAGGAAAUCAGGACUGUUACCUUGAAAAAAUUAGAGUGUUUAAAGCAGGCUUACGCUUGAAUACAUUAGCAUGGAAUAAUGAAAUAGGACGUUUGAACCUAUUUUGUUGGUUUCUAGGAUCGACGUAAUGAUUAAUAGGGAUAGUUGGGGGCAUUAGUAUUCAAUUGUCAGAGGUGAAAUUCUUGGAUUUAUUGAAGACUAACUACUGCGAAAGCAUUUGCCAAGGAUGUUUUCAUUAAUCAAGAACGAAAGUUAGGGGAUCGAAGACGAUCAGAUACCGUCGUAGUCUUAACCAUAAACUAUGCCGACUAGGGAUCGGAUGAUGUUAAUUUUUUAAUGACUCAUUCGGCGCCUUACG
rnacentral:rRNA from 1 species